CCAGCAACAAAAAUCAUGCAUUCAAUGGAGGCGCCUUACUACAUUCCUGCCCUCUGCAUGGCCCUCCAGCUGAUGUUUGACUGCAUUUCCCAUAAUUCUGUGGAUUGUAGAAAUUGUACCACUAGAACAUUUGCUGUGGGAGGGACUACAGUCCUGACAAUUCUGAAUAUUGUUGGAAUUGUUGUCCAUGGACAGGUAGUGGUUAUAGUGGGAAGCCAG